rnacentral:pre_miRNA from 7 species
CUUCGGGGUUCCUGGGUGUCACACAAAUCUCGUUGGGAUCUCCAAAUGAAAGACCAUAGUGGGAGACCCCCACUCAAGUCCUGAGAUGGUGUGUGCACCCAAGGAAUCACGGGAGACU